rnacentral:rRNA from 1 species
UAGGGAAUAUUGCACAAUGGGGGAAAGACCCUGAUGCAGCGACGCCGCGUGAAGGAAGAAGUAUCUCGGUAUGUAAACUUCUAUCAGCAGGGAAGACAAUGACGGUACCUGACUAAGAAGCCCCGGCUAACUACGUGCCAGCAGCCGCGGUAAUACGUAGGGGGCAAGCGUUAUCCGGAUUUACUGGGUGUAAAGGGAGCGUAGACGGAUCUGCAAGUCUGGAGUGAAAGCCCGGGGCUCAACCCCGGGCACUGCUUUGGAAAUCUGUGGAUCUAGAGUGCCGGAGAGGUAAGCGGAAUUCCUAGUGUAGCGGUGAAAUGCGUAGAUAUUACGCAGAACUCCGAUUGCGAAGGCAGCAUACCGGCGCCCAACUGACGCUCAUGCACGAAAGCGUGGGUAUCGAACAGGAUUAGAUACCC